GCAUACAACACGAACUGUGACGUGAGAUGAUGGAGUAUGGUGAUAUAAACAAAUAACACAACAAAACAUAAAUGCUCAACAAAAUAGGUUUUGAGCUGCAGACAAAAUUUAUUAAAAACUCCCGUAAAUAACAGGUUCAAACAACAAAAAGAAACUACAUUGAUGUUUGCGAGCUUUAAAAAAAAUGAAAGUCAAAACUGAAAGGAAAUUUAAAUCAAAAUACCAAAAAAUGAAAAUGAAAAAUUAAGCCGCGUCUGACUCCGUAUGGUUAAGCUCAACGUGAAAUCAAAAAUUAUAAAAAAAAAUCAACGCCAAAAAUAGAAUUAAAAAAAAACUCGCCAAACAAGAAUUUACAAAAAAAUGAAAUGAUAUUAAAAAAAUGAAAAGUUUGAUGUUCCAAAGAUUAAUUAAUUUAAAGAUUUUCUUAAGGAAAAUCAAAUAAAAAAAAUAAGAUACAAAUUCUUCAAUGACCAAAAUAAUAGUAUGUUGUUCUAUCUGACGUUUACUCCAAGUCUUGAUCACCGGCCCGAUUCGAAAUAAAUCCCCAGCAACAAAUUCUGGUGACUCAGGAAAGGAUGUAAUGGAAAUUAUACCCUUGGACAAUGGUUCCAAAAUACCAA